CUGGCUUGGUUUCCUUUUGUUUCAGAAUUUCAAACCCGUAUGCUGUUCAACCAAGCAUUCAGCAGAGGUUUGCAAAUUUCUCGUAUUCUUGGUGGGCAAAGAAAGGAGCGCUCUUCUCGCAACAAGGAAUAGUUCUUAACUACGAUAGCUUAAUAUUCGUUGGUUGCGCUACUAGCUGCACCAAGAUAUUCUGUAUCAAUUGUAAUUAGUUGUAACUAUGAAACAUACAUAUUCUACUCUUCAAUUUCAUUACAACGUUAAAUUAUCAUGAUCAAUUAUUCAAGUUAUCAAGUCUUUC
rnacentral:lncRNA from 1 species